rnacentral:piRNA from 1 species
UGAUCUGCAAUAGCGAUUCCUCGCUCC